rnacentral:rRNA from 1 species
GCAGCCGCCGCGGUAAUACGUAGGUGGCAAGCGUUGUCCGGAAUUAUUGGGCGUAAAGGGCUCGCAGGCGGUUUCUUAAGUCUGAUGUGAAAGCCCCCGGCUCAACCGGGGAGGGUCAUUGGAAACUGGGAAACUUGAGUGCAGAAGAGGAGAGUGGAAUUCCACGUGUAGCGGUGAAAUGCGUAGAGAUGUGGAGGAACACCAGUGGCGAAGGCGACUCUCUGGUCUGUAACUGACGCUGAGGAGCGAAAGCGUGGGGAGUGAACAGGAUUAGAUACCCCCGUAGUCCCUGUCUCUUAUAC